GGAUGUGAGGGCGAUCUGGCUGCGACAUCUGUCACCCCGUUGAUCACCAGGGUUGAUUCGGCUGAUCUGGCUGGCUAGGCGGGUGUCCCCUUCCUCCCUCACCGCUCCAUGUGCGUCCCUCCCGAAGCUGCGCGCUCGGUCAGAGGACGACCUUCCCCGAAUAAAGGAGGACUGGUCUUCGGUCAAGGGUAUAUGAGUAGCUGCGCUCCCCUGCUAGAACCUCCAAACAAGCUCUCAAGAGACACCUCACCAAGAAGGAACUGUUCAUCUUAGACUUACCUUUCAAAUUUGAGCGAGGUUCCUUUAUU
rnacentral:snRNA from 1 species